CGGCUCACCGCAACGCAUCGCGAGCCCGAUCCAUGCACGCGGUCCAGGGCUCAUGAGGAGAGAGAAGAAGGUCCGAAGGGCAACCUGGUAACUUCACAUCACUCGAUGGUCCGAUCUUCUCUGAUCAAGAUCCAAUGCUCCACAUUUUUGUGCCAUCGGAUGGCCACCAUCGCUGCCAGUCAAGAUCCAACCGUAAUCAAGGCAAUUGCAAGAAUCAAUAAACACUAGGACAACACGGGAUCCUUCUGCAGCGCGAUCCAAUGGACGAAAUCUUCCAGCGCCUUGAUCGGACGGUCCGCGAUGCAUCUGACCUGAUCCCAUCUCUGCAGCACGAUCCAACGGCAGCGCUUCACCCAGAUCAUGAUCCGAC
rnacentral:lncRNA from 1 species